CUGGGGUGCUCGAGUGGCGAACGGGUGAGUAACACGUGGGUGAUCUGCCCUGCACUUCGGGAUAAGCUUGGGAAACUGGGUCUAAUACCGGAUAGGACCAUCGUUUAGUGUCGGUGGUGGAAAGUUUUUUCGGUGUGGGAUGAGCUCGCGGCCUAUCAGCUUGUUGGUUGGGUAAUGGCCUACCAAGGCGUCGACGGGUAGCCGGCCUGAGAGGGUGUACGGCCACAUUGGGACUGAGAUACGGCCCAG
rnacentral:rRNA from 1 species